CCCCUGACGCAGCGACGCCGCGUGGGGGGAUGACGGCCUUCGGGUUUGUAAACCUCUUUCGCCCUUGACGAAGCCUUUCGGGGUGACGGUAGGGGUAGAAGAAGCACCGGCCAACUACGUGCCAGCAGCCGCGGUAAUACGUAGGGUGCGAGCGUUGUCCGGAAUUAUUGGGCGUAAAGAGCUCGUAGGCGGUCUGUCGCGUCGGUCGUGAAAACUUGGGGCUUAACCCUGAGCUUGCGGUCGAUACGGGCAUGACUGGAGUUCGGCAGGGGAGACUGGAAUUCCUGGUGUAGCGGUGAAAUGCGCAGAUAUCAGGAGGAACACCGGUGGCGAAGGCGGGUCUCUGGGCCGAUACUGACGCUGAGGAGCGAAAGCGUGGGGAGCGAACAGGAUUAGAUACCCUGGUAGUCCACGCCGUAAACGGUGGGCGCUAGGUGUGGGGGCCAUUCCACGGUCUCUGUGCCGGCA
rnacentral:rRNA from 1 species